GUGGAGAUGGUAGAUGGGGUAGGGGUCACAGUUGGGGUGGGGGUGGUCGUGUCCAUGUUGGGGGUGACAGUGGAGAUGGGAGAUGGGGUGGAGAGCUCAGGAGGGUUGGUGUUGGUGGCCGUGUCCAUCUCAGGUGUAACAUCUGAGGUGGAAGAUGGGCUGGAGAUCUCAGGAGGGUUGGUGGCAGUGACCGUGUCCAUGUCAGGGGUGACGGUGGAGAUGGGAGAUGGGCUGGAGAUCUCAGGAGGGUUGGUGUUGGUGGCCGUGUCCAUCUCAGGGGUGACAUUUGAGGUGGGAGAUGGGCUGGAGAGCUCAGGAGGGUUGGUGGGUGCAGUAGCUGUGUCCAUCUCAGGGGUGACAGUGGAGAUGGGAGAUGGGCUGGAGAUCUCAGGAGGGUUGGUGUUGGUGGCCGUGUCCAUGUCAGGUGUAACAUCUGAGGUGGAAGAUGGGGUGAAGAUCUCAGGAGGGUUGGUGUCGGUGGCCGUGUCCAUCUCAUCGGUGACAUUUGAGGUGGGAGAUGGGGUGGAGAUCUCAGGAGGGUUGGUGUUGGUGGCCGUGUCCAUCUCAUCGGUGACAUUUGAGGUGGGAGAUGGGGUGAAGAUCUCAGGAGGGUUGGUGUCGGUGGCCGUGUCCAUCUCAUCGGUGACAUUUGAGGUGGGAGAUGGGGUGAAGAUCUCAGGAGGGUUGGUGUCGGUGGCCGUGUCCAUCUCGGCGAUGACAGCUGUGUUCGAUGCAGUAGAGCUGUCCGUGGUGUCAUCCAUGGUUGUCCCUGCUGNGACGGUGACCAGGACGCAGACGCAGAGCAGGGCCCAGUUGCCCCACGGCCACCACCGUCCCCCCAUGGCCCCGGAGCUGGGGACAGAGCCGGGCACACGGAUCCGUCCCCGGGAUCCAGGACACGGAAUAAACACCUGGGGGGGACCUUUGGUCACAAUAAAACGAGGUGGGAGGGACCCAUCCGGUGAGGAUUCCGCCCUUUUCCUGGCACGCGAGGUGGCACGGGGCACCAGGUGUCCUUCCUGGCAUGGUGGCACCACCUGAGCUCCAGGAGGUUCCUCAGGGAGUGUCCAGGUGUGUCCCGGGGCANGUCCUGGGGUCACUCUGGGGUCACUCUGGGGUCACUCUGGGGUCACUCCUGUCCUGGGCUCGGGGUCACCACCAUGUCCCAAUGCGCUGUUUCAACCUGAGCACCCCAAAUUCCCCUUUUUCACCCCAAAUCCCCCCUGAAGGAUCCCAAAUUCCCCCUCCCCUCCAAUUCUGCCCUCUGUUACCAUGGCAACACCCCCAUAGCAAC
rnacentral:lncRNA from 1 species